GAUGAAGAACGUAGCAAAAUGCGAUACGUAAUGUGAAUUGCAGAAUUCAGUGAAUCAUCGAGUCUUUGAACGCACAUUGCGCCCCCUGGUAUUCCGGGGGGCAUGCCUGUCCGAGCGUCAUUGCUGCCCUCAAGCACGGCUUGUGUGUUGGGCCCCCGCCCCCCGGUUCCCGGGGGGCGGGCCCGAAAGGCAGCGGCGGCACCGCGUCCGGUCCUCGAGCGUAUGGGGCUUCGUCACCCGCUCCGUAGGCCCGGCCGGCGCCCGCCGGAGACCCCCCCUCAAUCUUUCCAGGUUGACCUCGGAUCAGGUAGGGAUACCCGCUGAACUUAAGCAUAUCAAUAAGCGGAGGA
rnacentral:misc_RNA from 1 species